UAGUGACGCGCAUGAAUG
rnacentral:ncRNA from 2 species